GUCCACACCCCUUAAAGUUGCCACGGUUGAGAAACACUGCCAUAAGGUACAUUCUUGCUCAUACUGCUUGCUAUAGAAUCUUUCAUCCUUUUUUCUCAUUUGGUUUUCCAAGAGUUCAGCCCACUGAAAGGAGACUUUGAAUAAUCUACAUGGAAGCACUAGCAAGGAUGAUGAUGAUGAUGAUGAUGAUGACGACGACUUUCCAGUUCAGCGUACAAUAGCUGAUGGAAUAUUUCAAUAUAAAUAAAACUGUGCU